GCGGCUGUAGCUCAGUGGAUAGAGUAUUGGCCUCCGAAGCCAAGGGUCGUGGGUUCUGAUCCCCGCCAGCCGCACCA
rnacentral:tRNA from 1 species